UACGAAGGGGCUAGCGUUGUUCGGAAUCACUGGCGUAAGCGCACGUAGGCGGACUUUAAGUCAGGGGUGAAAUCCCGGGGCUCAACCCGGAACUGCCUUUGAUACUGGAAGUCUUGAGUCCGAGAGAGGUGAGUGGAACUCCGAGUGUAGAGGUGAAAUUCGUAGAUAUUCGGAAGAACACCAGUGGCGAAGGCGGCUCACUGGCUCGGUACUGACGCUGAGGUGCGAAAGCGUGGGGAGCAAACAGGAUUAGAUACCCGCGUAGUCC
rnacentral:rRNA from 1 species